UGUACACAAUGUGCCGAGAGGUGAAAGAUUUAAUGCCUGAAGAUGAGCUCGCGUCUGAUUAGCUAGUUGGUGGGGUAAGAGCGCACCAAGGCGACGAUCAGUAGCUGGUUUGAGAGGAUGAUCAGCCACACUGGGACUGAGACACGGCCCAGACUCCUACGGGAGGCAGCAGUGGGGAAUUUUCCGCAAUGGGCGAAAGCCUGACGGAGCAAUACCGCGUGAGGGAGGAAGGCUCUUGGGUCGUAAACCUCUUUUCUCAAGGAAGAAAGAUGACGGUACUUGAGGAAUAAGCAUCGGCUAACUCCGUGCCAGCAGCCGCGGUAAUACGGAGGAUGCAAGCGUUAUCCGGAAUGAUUGGGCGUAAAGGGUCCGCAGGUGGAACUGAAAGUCUGCUGUUAAAGAAUUUGGCUCAACCAGAUAAAAGCAGUGGAAACUACAGAACUAGAGUAUGGUANGGGUAGAAGGAAUUCCUAGUGUAGCGGUGAAAUGCGUAGAUAUUAGGAAGAACACCGGUGGCGAAAGCGUUCUACUAGACCAAAACUGACACUGAGGGACGAAAGCUAGGGGAGCGAAUGGGAUUAGAUACCCCAGUAGUCAAA
rnacentral:rRNA from 1 species